UAUUGUUGAUCAUGAUGUAGUUCAGCUUAACAAUCUGCACAGGCAGAUUAUCCAUACUGAAGCAUAUAUUGGUCAGUCAAAAGUGGAAUCUGCUGCUGCUGCUUGUCACUCAUAUGUAACACUGGAUUGACUGACUACUUUGAAAACCUGGUCACAUUCUAAAGCAAUGAAGAGAGCCAUCAGUGAACAUUGUGGUGUAUGGACAAUCCCAAUGCUUAGUUACUUUUACUGUUUCCAGUGCAUUGGUAUAAGUUUGCUGAUCUGCUAUACUAAUUUGCUAUUCUUCUGGUGCUGCUGUGAUGUUGCUGUUGUUGCUGAGAUGCUGUGGUGAUGCUGCUGUGAUGGUGAUUGUUACGAUGAGGUGCUGCGGUGUUGUUGAUGUUUGGAAGGGUGCAGGACUUUUUGUCCAAUCUGUAAUAGAUCAGGUUUUCAUUAAUGGGGGUUGUCAUUAGGUGUAAUUUCGGGCAACUGCUGGUGUUUUGGAUGGAAGGGUAUGGAGGGGGUAUUUUGUGUGAUUUCAUAUCAAUGUUAUUAGUUUGUUAUAGUGGUGCCUGAGGGAUGCCUCUUGUAAAGCUGUAAAUCUUUUAAAAAAUUAUAAAUGAGUUUGAAUUAUUUUUGCCGUUGUAAA